CUAAUCUUAGUUUAAUUUAGAAUAGAGAUUUUGGGGAUCUUUGGUCUCAGUUUGAGAGAUUUGA
rnacentral:tRNA from 1 species